rnacentral:rRNA from 1 species
UGUUAUUGAAUAUAAAGAAAAGACGAACAGCUCAGUAACUCUUAUUUUAUUUGAUGUAUUAGGAUUAUAACUAUGUUAAAUUAUAGAUAACAAUAAUACAAUAAGAAUAAGAUCUAUCAGUUAGUUGUUAAGGUAAUGGCUUAACAAGACUAUGACGGAUAACGGUAUUACUUUGUAAUAUUCCGGAGAAGGAGCCUGAGAGAUUGCUACUAAGUCUAAGGAUUGCAGCAGGGGCGAAACUUGACCUAUGAUAUGAUAUUGAGGCAGUUAUGAGUAGUAUUUUUAAUUAUUGUAGUAUUGUAAGUAUAUACUACAAGAUAAAUCGGAGGGCAAAUCGAGUGCCAGCAGCCGCGGUAAUACUUGUUCCGAUAGUGUGUAUGAUGAUUGAUGCAGUUAAAAAGUCUGUAGUUUAUGAUUAAUAAGCAUUGUGAGGUAUAUUGUAUGGUUAGGAGAGAGAUGAAAUGUGAUAACCCUAACUGGAUGAACAGAAGCGAAAGCUAUAUACUUAAAUGUAUUAUUAGAACAAGGACGUAAGCUAGAGGAUCGAAGAUGAUUAGAUACCAUUGUAGUUCUAGCAGUAAACUAUGUUAAAUCAUAGAUACAUUUUAAUAUGUAUUUAUGUAAAGAAAUUAAGAUUAUAUUGACUCUGGGGAUAGUAUGAUCGCAAGAUUGAAAAUUAAAGAAAUUGACGGAAGAAUACCACAAGGAGUGGAUUGUGCGGCUUA